rnacentral:rRNA from 1 species
UGGGGAAUUUUGGACAAUGGGCGCAAGCCUGAUCCAGCCAUGCCGCGUGCGGGACGAAGGCCUUCGGGUUGUAAACCGCUUUCAGCCGGAAAGAAAUCGCACAGGCUAAUACCUUGUGUGGAUGACGGUACCGGAAGAAGAAGCACCGGCUAACUACGUGCCAGCAGCCGCGGUAAUACGUAGGGUGCGAGCGUUAAUCGGAAUUACUGGGCGUAAAGCGUGCGCAGGCGGUUUUGUAAGCCAGACGUGAAAUCCCCGGGCUUAACCUGGGAACUGCGUUUGGAACUGCAAGACUAGAGUGUGUCAGAGGGAGGUGGAAUUCCACGUGUAGCAGUGAAAUGCGUAGAUAUGUGGAGGAACACCGAUGGCGAAGGCAGCCUCCUGGGAUAACACUGACGCUCAUGCACGAAAGCGUGGGGAGCAAACAGG